AUUGAACGCUGGCGGCAUGCCUUACACAUGCAAGUCGAACGGUAACAGGUCUUUCGGGAUGCUGACGAGUGACGAACGGGUGAGUAAUACAUCGGAACGUGCCUAGUAGUGGGGGAUAACUACUCGAAAGAGUGGCUAAUACCGCAUGAGAUCUAUGGAUGAAAGCAGCGGACCUUUGGGCCUUGUGCUACUAGAGCGGCCGAUGGCAGAUUAGGUAGUUGGUGGGAUAAAAGCUUACCAAGCCUACGAUCUGUAGCUGGUCUGAGAGGACGAUCAGCCACACUGGGACUGAGACACGGCCCAGACUCCUACGGGAGGCAGCAGUGGGGAAUUUUGGACAAUGGGCGCAAGCCUGAUCCAGCAAUGCCGCGUGCAGGAUGAAGGCCUUCGGGUUGUAAACUGCUUUUGUACGGAACGAAAAGUCUUGGGUUAAUACCCUGGGAUCAUGACGGUACCGUAAGAAUAAGCACCGGCUAACUACGUG
rnacentral:rRNA from 1 species